rnacentral:lncRNA from 1 species
AAUACUCACCGCAGCCAGAGCCCACAUCCCUUCUCCAUGAGCUAUGCUAUGUCCCUACCCACCUAAGGAAACUCUUAGUCAUGUGCUUGCCCCAGUCCUGUCUUCCCUGAGAAUUCAGCAAUGAAGAAUUCCACAUUUCAGUGACCCAGCAUGAGAAAAGGGAAACCCACCUCUAACCUUUGGUGAUCUCAGCCCCCUUUCCUAAGGAUCUCUGACACACGGGAAAUGUCACCCUCUUAUAAAGAACUGAGAGCCAUUGGUGUUGGGGCCUGCGUUCGCCAUGGACAGGACACCUGUAAGACAAGCACGGAGUAAUGAAUGAGAAAGUUCUAGAGAAACCCAGUAAGAGAUGCUGAGCUGCCUGGAUGCUAACAGAAGGAGCAUGACAAGGAUGCCGGGCAAGUGUGGACCAUAGCGACGGGAUGAACAGCAAGAGCGCUGGACAGGGCUCCGCCCCACAGACCUGGCCCCACAUGCUUCAGUGUGAAGUUCUCGUCGGGAAAGCGGCUUCCGUAGAUGGACCUCCCUCCUGUGCCAUUGUGGUUGGUGAAGUCGCCAGCCUGUACACAGAGGACCUUGUCACUAAUUACCACAGCUGGCAGAGGGACAAGGGUCCCCUAGGAAGACAGCCCUCAACGCUCUCAAGGCUCGCCCUCAGGCAAAAGGGCCAACAAAACUAAAACCAAGCUUCUGCAUUUGUAACCAUGCCGUAACAAGUCUGGUUUCUGAACAAAAAGUAUCCUGUCUGAGCUAGUUUUUUUCUGUAAACCUCAAGAAACGUGCCUGAGCUAUUCAGAUUCUCAACCCACAAUUCCUAAGAGGACCACAAGCAGGUGACCAGGGGUCCUGUUCUCAGAGCCAGGCAGUAGGAGACAACCAGUUCCCCGCCCGAAUCCUCUUCUAUGCUCCAGCAUCACCCUCCCAAAGCCCAACAGCUUUGUAGACACAUGCUCCAUGGGGGUAGGUGCUUUUCUCAGAGCCUGCUCAGUGUCGGAGGACAUUUUUGUGCACUGUGUACUCAAUCGCUGAUUUCUGUAUUCAGAUUCUGGUUGCCGUCUGGAUUUUGGUAUUGUCAUUAUCAUGACACAUCUGACUCAGUAUUUUGUAAAACACUGUACUCGAUCACUAAAAUAAAGAGCUGAACAGCCUGUAGCUCAGC